rnacentral:rRNA from 1 species
AUUGAACGCUGGCGGCAGGCUUAACACAUGCAAGUCGAGCGGAGAUGAGGUGCUUGCACCUUAUCUUAGCGGCGGACGGGUGAGUAAUGCUUAGGAAUCUGCCUAUUAGUGGGGGACAACAUUCCGAAAGGAAUGCUAAUACCGCAUACGUCCUACGGGAGAAAGCAGGGGAUCUUCGGACCUUGCGCUAAUAGAUGAGCCUAAGUCGGAUUAGCUAGUUGGUGGGGUAAAGGCCUACCAAGGCGACGAUCUGUAGCGGGUCUGAGAGGAUGAUCCGCCACACUGGGACUGAGACACGGCCCAGACUCCUACGGGAGGCAGCAGUGGGGAAUAUUGGACAAUGGGGGAAACCCUGAUCCAGCCAUGCCGCGUGUGUGAAGAAGGCCUUAUGGUUGUAAAGCACUUUAAGCGAGGAGGAGGCUACUGAGACUAAUACUCUUGGAUAGUGGACGUUACUCGCAGAAUAAGCACCAGCUAACUCUGUGCCAGCAGCCGCCGCAG